UGAGUCUCCCAUAGUGACAGAGGCUUUUAUCUUCCUUUCUUAGUGCUUCGGUGGCUAGUGUCUCCUAGACUUCUGAGGAGCAUUUAGUUCAACCAAAGUGUAUUUUCAAAUCUAUUCCUAAAAUAACUUUGAAGACUCCAAGUUAUGACUUCAUAAUCUGAUAGAAACAAAACAAAUUUGAUUAUUUUCUGAGUUAGAGUACACCUUUGAACCUGUAUGUUAUCUCACAGAAAGAAGGUAAAUCCUUACUAACCCGAAGCAAAAUUAAAUAUGCAGAUAAAAUGCUGGUGAAAUGCUAUUUUGCAUAGAUCUAAAUAGUUUAAUUUGCCAGUUUUGUGAGUCAGGCAGAUGCAGUUCAUUUCGAAGCAGCCUUUGGGUCUUUUCACAUGAUUUGGCUAUUCUUAGAUUUCUGAGUCAUUCUGUCCUCCAUGCUAGUCAUUUUUCAAUUCCAUAUUCUCUAUUCAUGAGGGAGAUACAGAUACAACAUUAACGUAUCCAAAUUUGGCUAUGUGGCUUAAUACUCCGAGCAAACAGGCUAUAUAUUCAUUUCUAUUCUUAGCAAUACCUUGGGACAAGUUGAAUGUAAAUAAAAUAUUUGGGCAAUACACUGUAACACUGUAGAUUUCUGGUAAGUGAUGCCAGGAAACCUUGGCAUGCACAUUAUUGCAUAAUUGUUUUGAUUCUAUUUGACUAUCCUCUUAACAACUAAAAUCCCAAAGCAAUAGGAAUACUUACAAAAGGAACAGAAAUGUGGAUAACAUGGGAUGAGCCAAAAGACUCGGCCAAUGUUUUAUCCAACAGAAACAGCAUCUCUGAAAGACUAAUGCAGGCAGUACAUUGAUACCCAUAAGAAUAAAUUCACAGGAAAUGAAAUGUCCUUUAACAAACUGAGGAUACUAGUACAAUCUUUAUCCAAGGAAUCGUUAGGAAAACUCAGAAGCAUAGGUACAAAUAGGAUUGUCAGGGCACUGAGGAGUGUAAUUGGGUUGGUGAAUUCAGCAGAGAAGAAUGGAGAGAAUCCACCAGAUGAAUUAAGGAUUCUGAUGCUUCACUGGAGAGGAGCGUCUCUGAUCCUCACGUGAUGAAAUCAAGUGUUCACCAAACUGAUGCUCCUUGAGGAUACAGGUUGUGCCUUCCUUAUCUUUGUAACUCUAUUGCCCAUCAGAAUGUCUGGCAUAUAGUGGACAUUCAAGGAAUUCCUGUUGAACUGAAAGAAACUUCAGUGGGAGGGUAAAGCAGAUCUGACACCCUUCCAUUCAGAAAAGCCAGCACGUCAUUGAAAGCACCUCAUUCCCUCCAGCCAGCCUUCAGCUCUGCACUUCACAUCAACCACUCUGAAAAUUACAGUGGAGACAAAGGAUUGAGCCUGUCCAAUUUUUCACUUCUUCCUUCAUUUUCUUUUUCUAUCAGGAAACUUUAGGCUACCAUAUCUGCUUCAGCAGAAGGAGAAUCUCAGCUCUGGAGAGUUGCCCUCCAGGUGAAGCAUUAGGCUUUGAUACAAUGUGUCCGGUGCAGGCUGUAGAUCCUGGCCUCAAGAAUCAGAACCAACUUGGAAUAACUCUUGGCCCACUCAGCCAGCACCUUUCCGGAAGCCAGAAGAAUGAAGUGCCAAACAUAUCAUCAGAGAUAAUUCCAAGAAAGAGGGAAUGGUCUAUAGUGUCUCAGGCCACAGCUACUGGAAGUCCACUUUUUGGAACUGUUAUGUUUACUGUUGGGGAGUGACUUUGGCACCAAGGAGAACUUGGCUCAAAUCACUGGUUCCAUCAAAUCCAGCAUUAUUUGAAAUCAAAAUCUUGAUAAUGAUGCAACCAUUUGGCUUGAUGAAAUUAAAUACCUGGACUCAAAAAGAAAAUAAACGGAGUGGAGAGAACAAAAGCAACAAAGAAAUAAAAAUUGUA